rnacentral:tRNA from 1 species
GGGGAUGUAGCUCAGAGGUAGAGCGGCUGCUUUGCAAGCAGUAGGUCACCCGUUCAAAUCGGGUCAUCUCCA